GUUGGCAUCUAUUUAUCUUUUGCAGGUAAGAAAUAACGAGUAAUACCCAAAUCCUUUUUCACUGUAUUAGGUCGCUUCUGAGGCCUGAGCCAUGCUUGUACCUCUUCUUGAAUUUGUUUUGGUAACUCAUUCAAGACAUCCUGGUCAAUCUUAUCAAUGUCGUAACUCCAUGAUGGCCUUUUCAGUUUAAUCUGGCUACAAAGAUGAGUAUCAACACUAGAUUCACCUCUUGCAGGUGAAUUUUCUUGAGGAAGUUCACUUUGACGGUCUGACAAGGAGGAGGAUUCGCUUAGCCUACUAGUAUUGGCAUGUUCUGCCUUUAAGAGAGAGCCAGAGAGUUGACUUUGAAAAUAUCGCGAGAUUGUUGACAUCCCCUUUUCUUUAUUUGAUUUCCUCUUCCCAUCCUCUGACUCUAAACUAUCUCUAAUCUUUACAGUAAGGUAGUCCCUGCUUGAUUCAUUCUGAUCUUUCUCCCAUCCCCGGUACACUUCAGCAUCUGGUGAAGAACAGAUUGAAGUCUCUUUAUCAGGCAGCUUUUCUUUGCACGUGUUCUUGUCCUCUUCCUGUCUGUCUAGUGACAUGGAAUAUUUAGUCUCUUCAUUUUCCUCACGACAUGCUAUCCAUGGCUCU
rnacentral:misc_RNA from 1 species